ACCGCUGAGCCAUCUUUCCAGCCCCCUAAACAUUUAUUUUAGAAGGCAAGAUUUUGGGCUGGAAAGAUGGCUCAGUGGU
rfam:Mus musculus chromosome 7, GRC primary reference assembly.